rnacentral:rRNA from 1 species
UUGAAUUGAAGAGUUUGAUCAUGGCUCAGAUUGAACGCUGGCGGCAGGCUUAACACAUGCAAGUCGAACGGUAACAGGAGAAAGCUUGCUUUCUUGCUGACGAGUGGCGGACGGGUGAGUAAUGCUUGGGAAUCUGGCUUAUGGAGGGGGAUAACGACGGGAAACUGUCGCUAAUACCGCGUAUUAUCGGAAGAUGAAAGUGCGGGACUGAGAGGCCGCAUGCCAUAGGAUGAGCCCAAGUGGGAUUAGGUAGUUGGUGGGGUAAAGGCCUACCAAGCCUGCGAUCUCUAGCUGGUCUGAGAGGAUGACCAGCCACACUGGAACUGAGACACGGUCCAGACUCCUACGGGAGGCAGCAGUGGGGAAUAUUGCGCAAUGGGGGGAACCCUGACGCAGCCAUGCCGCGUGAAUGAAGAAGGCCUUCGGGUUGUAAAGUUCUUUCGGUAUUGAGGAAGGUUGAUGUGUUAAUAGCACAUCAAAUUGACGUUAAAUACAGAAGAAGCACCGGCUAACUCCGUGCCAGCAGCCGCGGUAAUACGGAGGGUGCGAGCGUUAAUCGGAAUAACUGGGCGUAAAGGGCACGCAGGCGGUUAUUUAAGUGAGGUGUGAAAGCCCUGGGCUUAACCUAGGAAUUGCAUUUCAGACUGGGUAACUAGAGUACUUUAGGGAGGGGUAGAAUUCCACGUGUAGCGGUGAAAUGCGUAGAGAUGUGGAGGAAUACCGAAGGCGAAGGCAGCCCCUUGGGAAUGUACUGACGCUCAUGUGCGAAAGCGUGGGGAGCAAACAGGAUUAGAUACCCUGGUAGUCCACGCUGUAAACGCUGUCGAUUUGGGGGUUGGGGUUUAACUCUGGCGCCCGUAGCUAACGUGAUAAAUCGACCGCCUGGGGAGUACGGCCGCAAGGUUAAAACUCAAAUGAAUUGACGGGGGCCCGCACAAGCGGUGGAGCAUGUGGUUUAAUUCGAUGCAACGCGAAGAACCUUACCUACUCUUGACAUCCUAAGAAGAGCUCAGAGAUGAGCUUGUGCCUUCGGGAACUUAGAGACAGGUGCUGCAUGGCUGUCGUCAGCUCGUGUUGUGAAAUGUUGGGUUAAGUCCCGCAACGAGCGCAACCCUUAUCCUUUGUUGCCAGCGA